GAAUAAUUAGCUCAGAGGUAGAGCAUAUGUUUUACAAGCAUUGGGUCAUAGGUUCAAAUCCUAUAUUAUUC
rnacentral:tRNA from 1 species